UGUAAAAUAUGAUGUUAAUGUUAUGACACGUUCAUUUCUACUGACAGCUUUACACCAUUAAACUAUCAGUCAGUCUGUAAAUGCUUCAUCAAUAACUGUUCAUAGUUGAAUCCCCUUGACUUCAGUCAUGUCCAGUUUCUCUUCUUCUUCUUCUUCCACACAUGUUUCCUGCAGUGAUUGUGAUGAUUGUUGAGAUGGCAGUGUUUGCUGCUCCUACUGUGAUUCUUCUUCAGAUCAUCUGUGCAAGAAGACCUGGGAGGAAGGACUCGCAGCACCCAGAGGAAAUAGAGAUGCCUACAAUAUUACAAUAAAAUACUGCUGAGUUUGGAGACCAUCUGAAACAAGAUUUAAAACAGCAGAAACUCACAGAGGAUUGUUCAUUGUUUGAUUUUCUUCUUCUCAGAAAACAGAGAAAAACUCCCUGAAGAAAUAGUGACACCAUCCAGUUUAGAUUCAAAUAUCUUUUACAAAUAAAAGGCCAGAUUUAUGUUCAUUUAUAUGGUUUGAUGGAUAUUUUCCUACAGUGUUGAAUGUCAUUUUCUUGUGCUUCAUAUAUAAACUGCAUUAAAUAUAAUAUUAAAUCCAGUAAUGGACAGACUGUUUGUAAAAUCCUCUCUCUGUUCUGUGUGAUGAAGAUGAUUUGCUGAUUCUCAUAUCUUAUCUUUUCAUUCCUGUUUUUAGCAUCUUUGUUCAUUUUGAAUGAUUUCUACUAAUUUUCUUAAUUAAACCUCUCUAAUUGUUUAA